UAUUCGGUCCCCUCAUAAUUCUUCCGCUCAUUUGUUCGACCGAGAGAUGAAGGCGGGGAAGGGAGAGGCGACGGGCGGCUCCGGCGACAUUUUCUGGCCAGAAAAUUUGUGGACAUCGAAGAGGAAGUCAAGAGAAGUCUAAGGUGUUUUUUGUGGUGAUCUCAAAGGAAGAAGGACUAGCAUAGAGAAUCAAUUUCCUAAUUUCUUGUUUAAUUCUUUUAAACCAAAAUGAGUAAAAGGGGUGGAAAUGUAUACCGUAGGAGAGGAGUGCAUAAAGAAAGGUGGAACCAUAUCCUAUUACCGUGGAGGAGCUGGUUAAAGGACAAGAAGUUAAUCUUAACUCGACCUCUUCUAUAGCUAUUGAUUCUCAUAAAGUGACUGGCCAAAAUGUUGUGGUUUAUCUAAAUAAUGCUUCUUCUUUUAUUGAUCUUCUUUUGGAGGAUGAGUUGGUUAAUAAUAUUGCGGUGGAGGAUGAUAUUGUGCAAGUUAUUUUUACUAAUCAGGUUAUCUCCCAAAUAGAGGCGAAGAAGAUAGGUGAUGUUGAUGUUCACAAUAAAACCUAUAUGAUAUGUGAUGUGAUCUAAAGGAAAGAGAAAUGCUUCUUUCUAGGGGGCAUUCAAGUGUGGUUAAUGAUAGUAAUUUUCCUUUGAAUAUUAAUUAUAAUAGUGAUGCUUUUACUGAUAA